UAUUAAAGAUGUGUAAUGAAAAAUUUUCUUUUACUUAUUGCUUUAAUUUUUUCUUUUGCAUUCGAGGCUGCUGCUACUACUCCUGAACUUGAUGCAACAUCAAUAGUAAUAUGUGCAAUAGUAAACUAUUCACAUACGAUCGGUGGGCCAAUCAUGACGGUGGUGAUUAUCGGUGCAGCACUGCUUGCAGUGUUUGGCAGAAUGCCGUGGCCAGCACUUGUUGCAUUGGGUAUAUUCACUGGUGCGUUUUUUGGUGCACCUGCAAUUGUAAAGGUUAUUGCACCAGAUACAUCACAAUCUUGUAAAUGUCCUGAAGGUAAAACACUGAAAAACGGAGUAUGUACGUAGGUUAGGUCAUGUGAACAACACACCUUUUGCAAAACUAAGUUCUGAUGGCAAUCAGAACUUACCUACUUCUUAAAUAUAUCCUGCUGCACUCACACGCGCUUCUCCAUCAUUAUUUGCAGUCAUCCAACAUUAAAAAAAUAACUUAAAUUGAUAAAACUUAAAAUAAUAUUUACCUAAUUUUAAACAAUGUAGAAGAUAAUACAGCAUAAAUAUAUUAGAGGUAUUAAUGAAAAAUUUUCUUUUACUUGUUGCUUUAAUUUUUGCAUUUGCAUUCGAGGCUGCUGCUCUUGAUGAAACAUCAACGGUAAUAUGUGCAAUAGUAAACUAUUCACAUAAGAUCGGUGGGCCAAUCAUGACGGUGGUGAUUAUCGGUGCAGCACUGCUUGCAGUAUUUGGCAGAAUGCCAUGGCCGGCACUUGUUGCAUUAGGUAUAUUUACUGGUGCAUUUUUUGGUGCACCUGCAAUUAUAAAGGUUAUUGCACCAAGUACUGACCAUUGUGUCACAAAAGCAGAACAACCAACACCUUGUCCUAAAGGCAAAACAAAGAAUGCACAAGGAAUAUGUGUGUAGGUUAGGUCAUGUGAAAACA